AACUACGGCCAUACUACCCUAAAUAUGCCUGAUCUCAUCUGAUCUCAGAAGCUAAGCAGGAUCAGGCCUGGUUAGUACUUGGAUGGGAGACCACGUGGGAAUACCGGGUGCCGUAGGCU